rfam:Serendipita vermifera MAFF 305830 unplaced genomic scaffold scaffold_217, whole genome shotgun sequence.
GCGCUGCUGCCAGAGUGGUCAUAGGGGUUUUCUGUAAAAAAACUGAUCUUUUGAUCGUUAAGGGUUCGAUUCCUUUGCAGCUCA